UGUUGAAAAGCUGUACACUCAGCCCCCUA
rnacentral:sRNA from 1 species